CUACGGGUUGCACCAGUGAGGAAUAUUGCACAAUGGGGGGAACCCUGAUGCAGCAACGCCGCGUGGAGGAUGACGCAUUUCGGUGUGUAAACUCCUUUUAUAUGUCAAGAAAAUGACGGUAGCAUAUGAAUAAGCACCGGCUAACUCCGUGCCAGCAGCCGCGGUAAUACGGAGGGUGCAAGCGUUACUCGGAAUCACUGGGCGUAAAGGACGCGUAGGCGGGUUGGAAAGUCAGGUGUGAAAUCCUACAGCUUAACUGUAGAACUGCACUUGAAACUUCUAAUCUAGAGUAUGGGAGGGGAGAUGGAAUUAGUGGUGUAGGAGUAAAAUCCGUAGAUAUCACUAGGAAUACCUAAAGCGAAGGCGAUCUCCUGGAACAUUACUGACGCUAAGGCGUGAAAGCGUGGGGAGCAAACAGGAUUAGAUACCCCGGUAGUC
rnacentral:rRNA from 1 species